rnacentral:rRNA from 1 species
AUGUACAAUGGGUUAGAAGUAACUUGCUAUGAUGAGUUGCGCUUAACCAAAAGGAAUUUUCAUGAUCUUUUCACGACGUUGCGUAUAAAGUGUGGUAUGAAAGAUAGCGUAAAUGUCACUGUAGAAGAAAAGGUUGCUAUGUUCUUGUUGGUGGUUGGACAUGGUAUUAAAAUGAGAGUGUUGCGUGGCACUUACAAGCGUUCUUUAGAGACUAUCAGUAGGCACUUCUCAAAUGUGUUGACAGCCAUUCUUUCCCUAACUGGGGAGUUUAUCAAGCUUCCUGAUCCUUCUAUUGAACCUCCAGAUGAUUACAAAUGGAAGUGGUUUGGAAAUGCCUUGGGAGCACUAGAUGGGUGUCAUGUUGAUGUUUCUGUCAUUGCGGCUGAUGAACGGAGGUAUAGGAAUAGAAAGCAAGAUAUCACCACUAACAUGCUUGGUGUUGUUGACUGGAACAUGAAAUUUCUUUAUGUUCUACCUAGCUGGGAGGGAUUUGCAUCUGACUCUAGAGUGUUGCGCGAUGCAAUGAGAAACGACCGUCAAGAUGCAUUUGUUAUACCUCAUGGAAAAUACUACUUAGUGGAUGCUGGCUACACCAAUGGACCUGGCUUUCUGGCUCCAUUCAGAUCGACUAGGUACCACUUGAAAGAGUGGGUCUCAAGUCAACAACAACCCCAAACUAACAAAGAGUUGUAUAACUUGCGCCAUUCUCGUUCUAUAAAUGUUGUGGAGAGAACUUUUGGCCUAUGGAAGAAAAAAUGGGCCAUUCUACGAAUUCAAUCUUUCUUUGACAUAAAGGACUAG